GCUACUGCACUAGCUAACAUUUAAUCUGUGAUGACUACAUACUCCUCGUGACUUUAAGAGCUUUAAGUAUUUUAACUCAUUUAAUUCUUAGAACAUUGCUAUGAGUUCUGUAAUACUAUUGUUGUUUACCGAAGAGGAAACUGAGGCACAGAAAGCCCAAGCUCUUGCACAAGGAUCAGAAGGGGGUAUAACCAGAAUUUGUUUCUCAGCAUCCUGACCAACAAUUAUUUUACCUACUAAACAGGGAAGCCUUUCAAAUAUAAUCCAGGGUAUCCGCUUCAUUUUACAACUAAAGAAAUGAAGGCUGGGUAAGGAUAAAGGACUCACAAAGAUCGUGUGUUUAGUUUCUGCUGGUCUAGACAUCUGGGUUCCAAAAGAAGAAUGCAUCUCCCAGGAGACAUGACAAUGAUUCCAUUCAACAGGAAGUUGAGACUGCCACCUGAACACUUUGGGCUCCUCAUGCCUCUGAAUCAACGGGCAAAGAAGAGAGUUAUAGAUCCUAACCACCCAGGAGAAAUUCGGUGGCCACUACACAAACAGACUUUUCUGACUCUGCGGCCAGGUGUUUGUAUUUAACUCCACGGUGAGGAGACUCAUCUUCUGACGGACCUAACCUAUACCAUCAAGCUCCAGCACCACAAGCAAAGACAAAAACCUUGCGGAAACUAUUUAACUAACUCCCACAAUUGCAUAAGGAUCUAAAUGAAAAUAUUUCUGCAGUGAACCAGUUCUAUUGUUUUAAAUAUCACCCUUAUUAAAGAGAGCUUUGACACUUUUCUAUGUAAA
rnacentral:lncRNA from 1 species